GCGGCUAGACGGAAAGACCCCGUGCACCUUUACUAUAGCUUGGCAUUGGAUUUUGGGCGUGUAUGUGUAGGAUAGGUGGGAGGCGAUGAAACGGGAGCGCCAGCUCUCGCGGAGCCGUCCUUGAAAUACCACCCUUAUGCGUUUAGAAUUCUAACCUUGAAGAGUGAUCCUCCUCGGGGACAGUGCCUGGUGGGUAGUUUGACUGGGGCGGUCGCCUCCAAAAAAGUAACGGAGGCGCGCGAAGGUUCCCUCAGCCCGAUUGGAAACCGGGCGUAGAGUGUAAAGGCAUAAGGGAGCCUGACUGUGAGAGAGACAUCUCGAUCAGGGACGAAAGUCGGUCUUAGUGAUCCGGCGGUUCUGAAUGGAAGGGCCGUCGCUCAACGGAUAAAAGGUACGCCGGGGAUAACAGGCUGAUAACCCCCAAGAGUUCACAUCGACGGGGUUGUUUGGCACCUCGAUGUCGGCUCAUCGCAUCCUGGGGCUGGAGCAGGUCCCAAGGGUUCGGCUGUUCGCCGAUUAAAGCGGUACGUGAGCUGGGUUUAAAACGUCGUGAGACAGUUUGGUCCCUAUCUACCGUGGGCGCAGGAAUUUUGAGGGGAUCUGUCCCUAGUACGAGAGGACCGGGAUGGACGAACCACUGGUGUACCAGUUGUCCCGCCAGGGGCAUCGCUGGGUAGCUAAGUUCGGAAGGGAUAACCGCUGAAAGCAUCUAAGCGGGAAGCCCACCCCAAGAUGAGAAUUCCCCUCCGGAGCAAUCCGGGCUGAAGGCCCCUCGUAGACUACGAGGUUGAUAGGUCGGGUGUGUAAGCACAGCAAUGUGUUGAGCUAACCGAUACUAAUUGGCCGUGCGGCUUGACCA
rnacentral:rRNA from 1 species